GCUGGGUGUGGUGGCACGCACCUGUAGUGCCAGCUACUUGGGAAGCUGAGGAGGGAGGAUGACUCGAGCCCAGGAAGUCAAGGCUGCAGUGAGCCACAAUUGCACCACUGCACUCUAGCCUGGGCAACAGAGUAAGAUCCUGCCUCAA
ensembl:misc_RNA Metazoa_SRP Metazoan signal recognition particle RNA